rnacentral:rRNA from 1 species
GGGGCCAUCCCGGCUUACCAACCCGAUGCAAACUGCGAAUACCGGAGAAUGUUAUCACGGGAGACACACGGCGGGUGCUAACGUCCGUCGUGAAGAGGGAAACAACCCAGACCGCCAGCUAAGGUCCCAAAGUCAUGGUUAAGUGGGAAACGAUGUGGGAAGGCCCAGACAGCCAGGAUGUUGGCUUAGAAGCAGCCAUCAUUUAAAGAAAGCGUAAUAGCUCACUGGUCGAGUCGGCCUGCGCGGAAGAUGUAACGGGGCUAAACCAUGCACCGAAGCUGCGGCAGCGAACGUAUCACUUAAAGCGAUUCAGCGGGUUACGAUUGACGGAGCGAAGCGACGUCAAAGCGUAUACAAAGUCGAGUCGGUUUAAGGAUACGUUCGUUGGGUAGGGGAGCGUUCUGUAAGCCCGUGAAGGUGGCCUGUGAGGGUUGCUGGAGGUAUCAGAAGUGCGAAUGCUGACAUAAGUAACGAUAAAGCGGGUGAAAAGCCCGCUCGCCGGAAGACCAAGGGUUCCUGUCCAACGUUAAUCGGGGCAGGGUGAGUCGACCCCUAAGGCGAGGCCGAAAGGCGUAGUCGAUGGGAAACGGGUUAAUAUUCCCGUACUUGGUGUUACUGCGAAGGGGGGACGGAGAAGGCUAUGUUGGCCGGGCGACGGUUGUCCCGGUUUAAGCGUGUAGGUGUGUGUUCCAGGUAAAUCCGGUUCACUUUAACACUGAGGCGUGAUGACGAGGCACUACGGUGCUGAAGCAACAAAUGCCCUGCUUCCAGGAAAAGCCUCUAAGCAUCAGGUAACAUCAAAUCGUACCCCAAACCGACACAGGUGGUCAGGUAGAGAAUACCAAGGCGCUUGAGAGAACUCGGGUGAAGGAACUAGGCAAAAUGGUGCCGUAACUUCGGGAGAAGGCACGCUGACACGUAGGUGAAGUGAUUUACUCACGGAGCUGAAGUCAGUCGAAGAUACCAGCUGGCUGCAACUGUUUAUUAAAAACACAGCACUGUGCAAACACGAAAGUGGACGUAUACGGUGUGACGCCUGCCCGGUGCCGGAAGGUUAAUUGAUGGGGUCAGCGCAAGCGAAGCUCCUGAUCGAAGCCCCGGUAAACGGCGGCCGUAACUAUAACGGUCCUAAGGUAGCGAAAUUCCUUGUCGGGUAAGUUCCGACCUGCACGAAUGGCGUAAUGAUGGCCAGGCUGUCUCCACCCGAGACUCAG